AUGCCUCACACAGAAGAGCAGUAUUAGCAUUGCUAUUAUAAUUACUAUUAUCACUAGCCAACAAAAAAUGUGCAUGUCUGCACAGUGCAGAUGAAUGCAAUCAAUAUGUGCAUCAGGAUACAACAGAUGAGAGAAUGCCAGCCCCUGCCAAAAUGACUCCACAUAUAUUGGGGAAGACGAACACCAAUAAAUCAGGAUCAGAUGUGAUGCAUGGGCAUUAGAGGCUGAAACACAGGUCUAAUGUCUGGAAAUCAAGAUCCUCCAAAACGACAUUAAUUCCAUCCUAUUACCUUCCACUUACCUUCUAUUCAUACUUCAUUUAACCUGUAUGACUGACGAAGGCAUAUUAUCAGAGUUCGCAGGCUCAGAGCAUAUAUUUAAGGUAUUACACAAAAUGGA